AUUGAACGCUGGCGGCAGGCCUAACACAUGCAAGUCGAGCGGAUGAAGGGAGCUUGCUCCUGGAUUCAGCGGCGGACGGGUGAGUAAUGCCUAGGAAUCUGCCUGGUAGUGGGGGAUAACGUCCGGAAACGGGCGCUAAUACCGCAUACGUCCUGAGGGAGAAAGUGGGGGAUCUUCGGACCUCACGCUAUCAGAUGAGCCUAGGUCGGAUUAGCUAGUUGGUGGGGUAAAGGCCUACCAAGGCGACGAUCCGUAACUGGUCUGAGAGGAUGAUCAGUCACACUGGAACUGAGACACGGUCCAGACUCCUACGGGAGGCAGCAGUGGGGAAUAUUGGACAAUGGGCGAAAGCCUGAUCCAGCCAUGCCGCGUGUGUGAAGAAGGUCUUCGGAUUGUAAAGCACUUUAAGUUGGGAGGAAGGGCAGUAAGUUAAUACCUUGCUGUUUUGACUU
rnacentral:rRNA from 1 species